AUUGAAAGUAAUCCCCAAAUGCAUGGGGCAAUUAACGCAGAAGAAAAUAACUUGUGGGUCCUGGAAGGAAUUGAUAUUAUUGUAUCAAGGGCAAUGGCAAAACUUUCGGUUUCUGAGAGUUUUGAUAAUUAUAAGUUUUCUUUCUUUUUUUUUUUUUUAAAGAUUUUUUAAUUUUUUCCUUUUUCUCCCCAAAACCCCCCGGUACAUAGUUGUAUAUUCCUCGUUGUGGGUCCUUCCUGUUGCGGCAUGUGGGACGCUGCCUCAGCGUGGUUUGAUGAGCAGUGCCAUGUCUGUGCCCAGGAUUCAAACCAACGAAACACUGGGCCACCUGCAGUGGAGCGUGCAAACUUAACCACUCGGCCAUGGGGCCAGCCCCUAAUUGCGAACCCAAUUGGAAGCCAGGUGACAUGGCUGACUAAGAUGGAUAGCCUGCAGUGGUCUCCCUGGCACAAAACUGAACACAUCAGGGGAGCACAAGGAGUAGAUCGGAAGGCAAGCAGGUGCAGGACCUACACGGUAGAACAAGGUUGAGUAUCUAAUGAUAUUAGCUGGGAUUCUAAGACCUUUGCUCAGCCACUCCAGCCACCCCUGACAUUCUCUCUGCUCCCCAAAUACAUCAAGCGUGUUCCUGCUUGAGAGUCUGUGUAUUUGCCCUUCCCUCUGCUUGGAACUCUCUUCCUCACACCUCCAUUUGACCGCUUCUCUGCUUCAGCUCGAUAUUGAUGUGGAUCAAGGCUGCCCCAGGGAGAGAAGCCCAAGGCAUCCUGGCCUACAUGCCAGUCUCCCGAUUCAUAUCUAAAGCUAUAGGACCACACAACAGCCAGACCCCACACACUUUUUGCAUCAUCUUUCCUUUGUCUAGUAAAAAUAUGUCACAUACCCAUGCCUUAUAAAUUUAGCCCUAACCCUCAACACAUUGCAGCUCUUCACUGCCCAUGGGUCCUGUCCCCAUGCUAUUCUCUGAAUAAAGGAUCACUACUACCAGACCUUGAGAGUGAAGAAAUCUUUCUUUGGACUCUUUGGCUCACCGAGCCCGCCUCCGUAUCACCUCCUCAGAGAAGCCCUCCACAACAACCUUACCCACUCACAGGCUGCAUGCCC
rnacentral:lncRNA from 1 species